AUCCUCAGAUCUCAGCCUCCAGAUUAGCUAGGAUUACAGGCAUGAGCUGCCAGCACCUGGCUGGAUGUUUUACUUUUGUAGAAAUAGUUGUGAAGCUCAAAAUAAUUGGGAGGCAGUUGUUGUACAUGAGUUCUUUUGAGGAUUGGGUUUUAGCUUCUCA